AACGUAGGAGGCAAGCGUUAUCCGGAAUUACUGGGCGUAAAGGGCGUCUAGGCGGCGGUACAAGCGCGAUGUGAAAGCUCCUGGCUCAACUGGGAGAGUGCGUAGCGAACUGUGCAGCUAGAGGCCAGGCGAUGGGGGUGGAAUUCCCGGUGGAGUGGUGAAAUGCGUAGAGAUCGGGAGGAACACCAGUGGCGAAGGCGGCUGCCUGGGCCAGUUCUGACGCUGAGGCGGCG
rnacentral:rRNA from 1 species